UUUAACCUUGAGUAUCCAGAGGAGGCAGCAUGCACACUGGAGGUUUUUCAAAGGUGAUUCACAGGCCUCAACCCUGAAAGGGGAACAAAGGCUGCAAAAGGAAAAGUAACAUCAAAAAUGACAGGACGACUCGUGCAAAAGAAAAAGACAGCAGUGAACAAACAUGUCUCCACUGUCCUCUGCAAGUUCAUGGACUACCAGAGGAACUUCUAAAAUGCCACCCUUUGAUGAGGCGUUCAGGACUAAGCCCCACUCAGCACUCAUUCAUGUUGGUUUGGUUUGGCUGUUCACGAAGUUUUAAACUAGCUCAAAUGUUAAAGAUGUUACUGUUAGGGUUCCUAUAAAGUGUUCAAAAAUAUGUAACUUCAAUAUUUGACAGUGCUGGAUUCCUUCCUUCAAAAGGAAGGGAUCCAGUUGUUUGACAGUUUGUUUGUUUUUUAGAGAUUUUGACCCUUUGGAACUUUUAUUUUAAAGGUUAUUUAACUUGUAUGUGAUGUAAUAUUACCAUGGGGGGUUAUGCAUUUAAAAAUGUAGCAGUUCAUAAUGUUUUUUGGUCAG